AUUGAACGCUGGCGGCAUGCCUUACACAUGCAAGUCGAACGGCAGCGGGGGAGCUUGCUCCUGCCGGCGAGUGGCGAACGGGUGAGUAAUGCAUCGGAACGUGUCCUGUUGUGGGGGAUAACUGAUCGAAAGAUCAGCUAAUACCGCAUGAGACCUGAGGGUGAAAGCGGGGGAUCGCAGGACCUCGCGCGACAGGAGCGGCCGAUGUCUGAUUAGCUAGUUGGUGAGAUAAAAGCUUACCAAGGCGACGAUCAGUAGCUGGUCUGAGAGGAUGAUCAGCCACAUUGGGACUGAGACACGGCCCAGACUCCUACGGGAGGCAGCAGUGGGGAAUUUUGGACAAUGGGGGAAACCCUGAUCCAGCCAUGCCGCGUGCGGGAUGAAGGCCUUCGGGUUGUAAACCGCUUUUGUCAGAGACGAAAAGGGACGCACGAAUAAUACGUUCCGCUGACGGUAUCUGAAGAAUAAGCACCGGCUAACUACGUG
rnacentral:rRNA from 1 species